rnacentral:rRNA from 1 species
ACUCCUACGGGAGGCAGCAGUAGGAAUCUUGCGCAAUGGGCGAAAGCCUGACGCAGCAACGCCGCGUGGGGAUGAAGGCCUUCGGGUCGUAAACCCUUCAGUCAGGGAGCGAAAUGAACGUNCCUGCAGAAGAAGAUCCGGCCAACUACGUGCCAGCAGCCGCGGUAAUACGUAGGGAUCGAGCGUUGUCCGGAAUUAUUGGGCGUAAAGAGCUCGUAGGCGGUUCGGUAAGUCGGGUGUGAAAAUCCAGGGCUCAACCCUGGGACGCCACCCGAUACUGCUGUGACUAGAGUCCGGUAGAGGAGCGUGGAAUUCCUGGUGUAGCGGUGAAAUGCGCAGAUAUCAGGAGGAACACCAGCGGCGAAGGCGGCGCUCUGGGCCGGUACUGACGCUGAGGAGCGAAGGCGUGGGGAGCAAACAGGAUUAGA